GUUCUCACUUCUGUAAGUACGCUUCCUGCAUCACGUAGCUCCCGGCCACUGACUGCUUAAAAGGUGGCUGCUUUCUUUGUGCGGGGCUCAGACUUUCCUGGAUGCUAGUCCUACUGAGCCAGGUGAUCACCUUAAUAAAGGCUUCCCUGAACUCUGUUUGGUCUCUGCCAUCUCUGAUUGUCCUACAACAUUUCUGGGGGCUUGUCCAGGAUCGGAGAUGGCAGAUUUCUGUAUCCUUUGCCUGUGGGCUAGAGCCCCAGGAUGCGGGAGAUUUGAGACCCUUGGCAUCACUGGGUAAGAGUUAACCCAGAAGGAGAACAGCUCUCCUGUCUCUUGGAGCCUUUCCCUGACAGUGCAAACGGAACCGACUGAGGAGUUGCAGGACAGUCACGGAGCAGCGUGCAGGCAGACUACUGAACCAUGUUGCAGGUAUUACACCAUCACAGUCAACUAAAACCUGCAGCCUCAGUUCAAGACCAAUGGACGAGUCAGCAAGAUCCAGAUCAUCCAACUCGACUGAUCUUGCAGAGGAACCAAGGCGCAGCAGGAAAAGACGACUGCCCUGCUCCGACCACACCAGAGACUGGUCGGUCAACGCACGGCUGUAGCUUAAGGAAGUGUCAAUCUCUGCUCUAGUCACACAGCUGGAAGCUGACUAGUCUACGCAUGGCUGAAGCUUAAGGAAACAUCAAGCCCUGCUCUAGUCACACAACCAGAAGCUGACUAGUCUACGCACGGCCGAAGCCUGAGGAAGCCAGCACUAGAUAAGUAAACGUGGAUUGAAUUAGCAAAUGUAGUUAUACUAUUGCUUAUACUGAUUGUCUUGCUGUCAUGCUAUCUUUGCAAUUGCUAUCAAACUUGUUGCCCGGGAGGAUGCCCGUGCAUAGUAUAAACUUGAUCAGACUAAUGACAAUAAUGUUAACAGGUAUGGGAGGAAACCAAGAUAAUUGUCAUCAUUGUAUGAUAGAAGCUUGGUCUGGUAAAGGUAUAACUAAAACCCUGUUAUAUCAAACUUAUUAUGAGUGUAAUAAGUUUGUAAAGGAACUCCCUUGGGGACAUGUGUUUAUAAUCAAACCAGCUACUCCAUCUGUGACACGGAAAUAGGCAACCUCAAGUAUGUUAUAAUCCAGGCCUCCUUCCCUAUGACUUCUGGUUUUAAAUUCAAAAUAGAGAAACCUUUAUUACCUUCAUAUGCCAAUCCUAAAGACGUUAGAACUGGGAAACUCGUAAGCAAAAUGCAGCUAUUCCCUUAUUCACAUAAAGGAUGUAUUUCUAUAUAUUUUGAUGCCUGUCAGGCUGCACACCUCAGCAACCUAAACAAUCUAGGAGUAGUCUGCAAGAACUUAGGACAAGAAAGAGUCAGUAGCAAGGUUGCUAAGAUCAUAACAGGAGAACUAGAAGAAGAAUGUCCUGAUGGUAACAUUCAAUGGACCACAAAUGAGUUCAGCCAAUGCCUUUAUGCAGGGAGAGUAGCUCUGCUAACCAGCCAAGAAUCAAAGAUUGGUUGUGCAACUAAAACAUGCAACCCCCUAAAUCUGACCAUAUUAAGGCCAAACAUGACUUUUUGGACUAAAGUACACUAAGGAGAGCAAUCUUUGCUCGAGGAGCAAAUCUAGGUAUUCAAUUAAUCAUUAUUAAAAAGACUUAGCGAGCUGAAGCUCAAGUCAGUCCAAUGUCACAGUUCAGAUUUUUCAAAUCCUUCAGUAAACAUUUUAACCCCAAGGAGCCAAAACUUCAGAUUCCACCAAUGUCAGCUGAGAACCUACUCGCUCAGCUAGCUGAAAGUAUUGCUACUAAUCUCGGAGUCACCUCAUGUUAUAUAUGUGGAGGUACCAGUAUAGGUGACCAAUGGCCCUGGGAGGCUAGAAAACUAAUGCCAUAAGAUAACUUUACCAUACUGGAAUUUGUUACAAGGUUCAAUGCAAACCCAAGUGUCUGGCUAUUAAAAACCCCUAUCAUUAGAAGAUACUGCAUAGCACCAUGGGGAAAGGACUUUCAAACUCAAGUAGGAGAUACGACUUGUUUAGGUCAGCAAUAUUUUGAAUAGUCUAAGAACAAGACACAGUGGAGCAGCUUUAUAGACAAUUCCUCUGUACCAGAUUUUAACCCUCUCUUUCAGUUUCCAGCACUAAAUCAGUCAUGGUAUCAACUAGAUGCUCCAAAUGUUUAGAAAGCACCGGCAGAACUAUAUUGGACCUGUGGGACAAAAGCCUAUCAACUAUUGCCCGAGAAGUGGGCUGGAGCCUGUGUGUUAAAGACAAUAAGGCCAUCCUUCUUCUUGCUCCCACUGAAACAAGGGGAAGAUUUAAGUUACCUGGUCUAUAAUGAAGGAAAAAGGACCAGAAGAAACGUCUUUACUCAGAUAAGUACUGUAGAAAAGAUAAACACAAACAUAAAGAAGGACAUUGAGAUAGGUAGCUGGAAGGAUAAUGAAUGGCCUCCUGAAAAAAUUAUCAAAUACUAUGGGCCAGCUACAUGGGCCCAAGAUGGAUCAUGGGGCUACCGCACCCACCCCUAUUUACAUGUUAAACCGAAUUAUAAGAUUGCAAGCAGUACUAGAAGUCAUAGUUAAUGAAACACCCCGAGCCUUGGAUCUGUUAGCCUUACAGUCCACUCAAAUGAGAGAUGCUAUAUACCAAAAUAGGCUAGCAUUAGACUACCUCCUAGCCUCAGAAAGAGGAGUUUGUGGCAAGCUUAAUUUGACCAACUGUUGCUUACAAAUCAAUAAUAAUGGAAGAGCUGUUAUGGAAAUUACUGCUAGAAUGGGGAAGUUAGCCCAUGUCCCAGUCCAGACUUGGUCCUGGUGGAGCCCAAACUCACUUUUUGGAGGAUGGUUCUCAUGGUUUGGAGGCUUUAAAACCUUGAUAAUUGGUUUUAUAGCUAUAGUAGGAGGAUGUCUAAUAACUGCUUUGUCUUUUACCUCUCCUCAUCAGAAGCAUCCAGUCUACUAUUAAAGCAAUAGUGGACAGAACAACUAUCACCAAAAUAAUGCCAUUACAAAAAUACCAAACAGUCCCCCAGGAAGAAUACGUGCCUACACAGGAAGAGAUAAACGACUGUGGUGCUCUUUAUUAAUCUACAUUUAUGGCGAGCACCAAAGAGGGGGAUGAAGAAGGAAUUCAUGAAUUUUACAAGUAUAAUCAAAGACCACCAAGACAUUUUUACUUUUUCCUUCAAAAGCUAAGUGUAGUUUAGCCCCUGCACCCCACAUAGUCUAAGUUAGAGAAGAAUACUAACUGCCUGUUUUUCCUUCUGUGCUCAGCAAGCCUUAUCUGUACUCACCAGUUUCACAUUCCUUGAGGCUCAGCGAGUUCCUGCUUCACCUCCCUAGCGCAGCUGUAAAGUUACAAGGUUGAUAAGCAUAUGGUACAGAAACAGAGUUUCCCAAGGAUGUAGAACAUGUAGUAUAGAUAAAUGUAAAAGACUGAUCAACUGCCUUUGUUCUCGCUUCUGUAAGUACGCUUCCUGCAUCACGUAGCUCCCCACCACUGACUGCUUAAAAGGUGGCUGCUUUCUUUGUGCGGGGCUCAGACUUUCCUGGAUACUAGUCCUGCUGAGCCAGGUGAUCACCUUAAUAAAGGCUUUCCUGAAUUCUG